rnacentral:tRNA from 1 species
GCGCUGGAGGUGCAACGGCCGCACACCCACCACCCUGGUGGGAGGACCAGGUUCGACUCCUGGCCAGCGCUCCA